CCCGCACCGGAGGUUCUUGACAGAACGAACUAAAAACUCCAACUCAAAUUUGCAGUCUAAUUACAAUCCGGAUGUGAAACAGCCGUGAGCGGUGACAGGUGUCACCGCCCAGAGCAGUGGCCACCCCCCUCUUGGCCGUGGUCCGGCCCGGCUCACGACAUCGUGAACACGAGUUUGGCCUGUUGCUUGAAUCUCCCCCACGCAUCCGGUAAAUUGGGUGAGUUGGAAUACCGAACGCCUCCUCGUCGUCGUCUUCAUUAGCCCCCCCGCCCCCGUCGCGAGGACAGCGUUCAUUCCUCCUUCAUGAUAGCAUCGUCGGCUCGGUGUGUUGAUCCUGGCAAUAUUUGGACGUGAUCCUCCAGAUGCAAAGUUCAACUCGGCCCACCGGUGAGAGAUCUGGAUUGGCUGGCGACCAGUUCAAGGUGUACCCCGCCUCCUGCCUGUUGACAGCUGGGAUAGGCUCUAGCACUCCCUGCGACCCUCGUGAGGAUAGUUCAGGGCGUACGCGGCCUUCUGCGCGUUGACAGCUUGGAUAGUCUCCAGCACUCCCCGCGACCCUCGUGAGGAUAAGCGGCGAAGAAGAUGGAUGGACGGACGGACAGCCAAUGCAAGAGCUAUAUGGACGGUGUUCACUUUGACUUGAUGGCCUGAGGCGGAUCUCGCCGCGCACCUCCCUGGCCUCGGGGUGACAACAGCGGGUGUAGCGCCCCCUCCACCACGACUGAAUCUUCACAGCCGCUCUCGUCGCUUCCUCCGACGUGUU